rnacentral:rRNA from 1 species
AUUGAACGCUGGCGGCAGGCCUAACACAUGCAAGUCGAACGAGUGGCGGACGGGUGAGUAAUGUCUGGGAAACUGCCUGAUGGAGGGGGAUAACUACUGGAAACGGUAGCUAAUACCGCGUACCAUAAGAUGUGCCCAGGUGGGAUUAGGUUGUUGGUGGGGUAACGGCUCACCAAGGCGACGAUCCCUAGCUGGUCUGAGAGGAUGACCAGCCACACUGGAACUGAGACACGGCCCAGACUCCUACGGGAGGCAGCAGUGGGGAAUAUUGCACAAUGGGGGCAAGCCUGACGCAGCCAUGCCGCGUGAAUGAAGAAGGCCUUCGGGUUGUAAAGUACUUUCAGUGGGGAGGCGUUACCUACAGAAGAAGCACCGGCUAACUCCGUGCCAGCAGCCGCGGUAAUAC